AACGAACGCUGGCGGCGUGCUUAACACAUGCAAGUCGAACGCGAAAGGGGACUUCGGUCCUGAGUAAAGUGGCGCACGGGUGAGUAACGCGUAGAUAACCUGUCUUCAUGUCUGGAAUAAUACGCCGAAAGGGGUACUAAUACCGGAUAUUCUUGCUUUUCAUAAGUUAUGCAAGCAAAGGUGGCCUCUGCAUAUGCUACUGCAUGAAGAGGGGUCUGCGUACCAUUAGCUAGUAGGUGGGGUAAUGGCCUACCUAGGCGACGAUGGUUAGCGGGUCUGAGAGGAUGAUCCGCCACACUGGCACUGGAACACGGGCCAGACUCCUACGGGAGGCAGCAGUGAGGAAUAUUGCGCAAUGGGGGAAACCCUGACGCAGCGACGCCGCGUGAGUGAGGAAGGCCUUCGGGUCGUAAAGCUCUGUCAAGAGGAAAGAAGUGUACAAUGGCUAAUACCUGUUGUAUUUGACGGUACCUCUAAAGGAAGCACCGGCUAACUCCGUGCCAGCCGCAGC
rnacentral:rRNA from 1 species